rnacentral:tRNA from 2 species
GGCCUCGUGGCGGAGUGGUUACGCAGAGGACUGCAAAUCCUUCUACGGGGGUUCGAUUCCCUCCGAGGCCUCCA